AUGCCCUGUGGUGUAGUGUAGUACCAUAAUUAGUGUGCCAUGUAAUAAGUAUAGACAAUAGUGAUCUCAUUCAUGCACAGCAUAUCUAUGCUAAACAGUUAACAGUGAAUUUCGGGUGUAUAUUGAUUGUCUUGUUCACCUAAGUGUCCUAUAAUAGAGUAAGAACUAAAUAUAUCAACAUGGAACUAGAGGUAGGACCAUCGUUAUUUAGUGUAGAGGAUAAAGGACCAGUGCUGGAAAGUAAGCUCAUCGCUUGCCUGAGAUGCCAGGCUUGGUGAAGGUGUGACCAAAGAGAUCCCCCUGCUGAUGCACAGACGGCUCAGUCCUGUUCUGGGCCUUGGACACCCAGGAUGGACGGCACUGCUCCCAGUUAUGACCGAAGAGCCUCAGACCCCUGCCUGCCUGCCUGUAUCCUGACCCUGGCCUGUGUUUCCCGACUACAAUUCUAGCCUUGUCCUCAAUGUACCAACGACGAUCAUCCGACCACCCGCCUGUCCCCGAACCUAAACCUGCCUUGCCUCCACGGACUCCGACGAAGAUCGCCUGACCCCCACCUGUCUACCUACCACGAGCCUGGAACCCAGUGGAGGGUUCGAGGAUAUCUGAGAAUUUUACUGUACAGAUUAUUUCUUCUUCAUGCUGCACUACUGUAAAUGUCCGCAAGGCAGUGUGAACAUACAAGCUUCCAUCAGUACUUAUGAGGAGCACCAACACUAUGUAACACUGGAGGCAUAUAUCAUCAUCAGCCAUCUUGUUCUGUACAACAUUCUGAUUUGACCCGAAGCAAGAAAUCUAUUGGCCUUUAAUAGAUUUUCUAUCCAUGCAUCCAUCUAUCAGUCACUUAUCCAGUACUGGGAGGGAGCUUAUCCUCAGCAGCAUAGGUUAUACAGCAGGGGACAGCCUGGAUGGGAUACAGCAUAGGAUACAAAGCAGGGGACUCCACUCCAUUGCAGAACACACACAUGUACAACUUAGAAAAAGAGAUUGAUCAUGGUUUUGGACUGCAGCAGGAAAGUGGAGUACCCAGAGGUUACUCACACAACACUUGGAGAAUACAAACUCCAUACAUACAGACUGGGGCAGGAUUCAAACCUCAUGGAAGUGAGAGGCAACAGUGGAGUCCACUGAGUCACCAAGCCUCCUCCUGAAAGAAGAUGAACUGGCAUGGUGGUUCUCAUCAUGCAACAUCAUUCAAGCCUGCUGUUCUUCUCUGUAUCAUAUCAUUUUCCACCAGUAUGGAAGACAAAAGCAAGAACAUUAAUGAGAUCGGGAAAAGGACGAACACGCAGAACAGGCACAGGGGAAGCAACCAAGACAACACCUGACACAAGAUGGGAAACGCUAACAGGCAGAACAGAAAGGGAGACACAGGGGAAACACCAACGGGAGGGACAAAAGGACUGAGAGUGAACCGAGGAACCACAGGAGGAUGAGGAGCUGAGACAGGAGGGACAGAGGGACGAGGAGCAAACACAGGAGGGACAAAACAGGGAGGCCAAACGGUAAAGGUUGGGGGUCAAUGGGGAGUCCGAGAGAGCCACAGCAGGUGACGGGUGGCAUCCGGAGGGGCCGCAGGUGACAGAGAGGCAGGACCAGGAGGGGACCACAAAGGAGGCGAGGAGACAGGGUGAGGGACAGGUGGAGGAGUUGAGGAGGAAGUCGGAAGGGGCACCUAUUGACAAGAAGUCAGAGGGGAGUCCGACGCAGGUGAGGAGGCAGGUGAUGGUGCAGCCACAGCCGGCAAAGCCGCAGCCGACCAACGAGUCGGAGAAGGGAGACCCGCAUGUGACUGACGAGGAGUCAGAGGCAGGACUGAGGACAGAGAAUGAGGCAUCGGAGGGGAACCCUCUGGCGACCGCCGAGCAGGAGCUAAUGGACCCCCAGGCGUCCCGCGAGUCCCAGCCAAGGCGAGUGAGGGCGAACCGAUGGGAACUGGCCCCUGCACCUGCGUCCGCUCCCCUUUCAGGACACUGAGAGGUGGGGACCUGACCGGAAUCAACCACGCUGGGGUGAUGGCUGGGGUGACCCACCAGAGGGGUCCAUUGGGGCCAUUAGAGAAAUCCUCAAGGGGUCCCAUUCAAGCUCCUCCUCCCCCAAGGGGAAGGGAAAGGAGCGGUGCUUAGGCAGUCUGGGACCUCCUCGGGGACGGGGACUAGGGUCAUGGGGUCAGAGACUUCAGGAGUGGACAGACCAGGAGCUGGAGGCAGAGGAACCUCGGGCGGAGCAGGGACAGGCGGAGAAAGAGGAGCCUCAGGUGGAGCAGGAAGCCUCGGGCGGA